GAUGAACGCUGGCGGCGUGCCUAAUACAUGCAAGUCGAGCGAACAGACGAGGAGCUUGCUCCUCUGACGUUAGCGGCGGACGGGUGAGUAACACGUGGAUAACCUACCUAUAAGACUGGGAUAACUUCGGGAAACCGGAGCUAAUACCGGAUAAUAUAUUGAACCGCAUGGUUCAAUAGUGAAAGACGGUUUUGCUGUCACUUAUAGAUGGAUCCGCGCCGCAUUAGCUAGUUGGUAAGGUAACGGCUUACCAAGGCAACGAUGCGUAGCCGACCUGAGAGGGUGAUCGGCCACACUGGAACUGAGACAUGGUCCAGACUCCUACGGGAGGCAGCAGUAGGGAAUCUUCCGCAAUGGGCGAAAGCCCGACGGAGCAACGCCGCGUGAGUGAUGAAGGUCUUCGGAUCGUAAAACUCUGUUAUUAGGGAAGAACAAAUGUGUAAGUAACUAUGCACGUCUUGACGGUACCUAAUCAGAAAGCCACGGCUAACUACGUG
rnacentral:rRNA from 1 species